rnacentral:tRNA from 1 species
GGCUUUGAAGUAUAUUAAUACAUUGAAUUGCAAAUUCAAAGAAGUAGAUAAUAUCUGCCAAGGUCUG